rnacentral:rRNA from 1 species
GACGAACGCUGGCGGCGUGCUUAACACAUGCAAGUCGAACGGUAAGGCCCAGCUUGUGUGGUGGGCUCGAGUGGCACACGGGUGUGAAACACGAGAGAAACCUCCCCUUCACUUGGGUAAAACUUCAGGAAACUGGGUCUAACUCGGGACGUGCGCUCCUCCCGCAUGGUGGGGGUUGGAAAGUUUCUCCGGUUCGGGAUGGACUCGCGGCUUAUCAGCUAGAUGGUGGGGUAAUGGCUUACCAUGGCGUCGACGGGUAGCCGGCCUGAGAGGGUGACCGGCCACACUGGGACUGAGACACGGCCCAGACUCCUACGGGAGGCAGCAGUGGGGAAUAUUGCACAAUGGGCGCAAGCCUGAUGCAGCAACGCCGCGUGAGGGAUGACGGCCUUCGGGUUGUAAACCUCUUUUAGUAGGGAAGAAGCGAAAGUGACGGUACCUGCAGAAAAAGCACCGGCUAACUACGUG